CCUACGGGAGGCAGCAGUGAGGAAUAUUGGUCAAUGGGCGCGAGCCUGAACCAGCCAAGUAGCGUGAAGGAUGACUGCCCUACGGGUUGUAAACUUCUUUUAUAAAGGAAUAAAGUGAGGCACUUGUGCCUUUUUGUAUGUAUUUUAUGAAUAAGGAUCGGCUAACUCCGUGCCAGCAGCCGCGGUAAUACGGAGGAUCCGAGCGUUAUCCGGAUUUAUUGGGUUUAAAGGGAGCGUAGAUGGGUUGUUAAGUCAGUUGUGAAAGUUUGCGGCUCAACCGUAAGAUUGCAAUUGAUACUGGCAGCCUUGAGUACAGUUGAGGUAGGCGGAAUUCGUGGUGUAGCGGUGAAAUGCUUAGAUAUCACGAAGAACUCCGAUUGCGAAGGCAGCCUACUAAACUGCCACUGACAUUGAUGCUCGAAAGUGUGGGUAGCAAACAGGAUUAGAUACCCUAGUAGUC
rnacentral:rRNA from 1 species